rnacentral:rRNA from 1 species
UACGGAAGCAGCAGUGGGGAAUAUUGCACAAUGGGCGCAAGCCUGAUGCAGCCAUGCCGCGUGUAUGAAGAAGGCCUUCGGGUUGUAAAGUACUUUCAGUCGUGAGGAAGGUGUUAAGGUUAAUAACCUUAGCAAUUGACGUUAGCGACAGAAGAAGCACCGGCUAACUCCGUGCCAGCAGCCGCGGUAAUACGGAGGGUGCGAGCGUUAAUCGGAAUUACUGGGCGUAAAGGGCACGCAGGCGGUUAAUUAAGUUGGAUGUGAAAUCCCCGGGCUUAACCUGGGAAUGGCAUUCAAGACUGGUUAGCUAGAGUCUUGUAGAGGGGGUAGAAUUCCAUGUGUAGCGGUGAAAUGCGUAGAGAUGUGGAGGAAAUACCGGUGGCGAAGGCGGCCCCUGGACAAAAGACUGACGCUCAUGUGCGAAAGCGUGGGGAGCAAACAGGAUUAGAUACC